rnacentral:rRNA from 1 species
AACGAACGCUGGCGGCAUGCCUAACACAUGCAAGUCGAACGAGACCUUCGGGUCUAGUGGCGCACGGGUGCGUAACGCGUGGGAACCUGCCCUUAGGUUCGGAAUAACUCCCCGAAAGGGGUGCUAAUACCGGAUAAUGUCUUCGGACCAAAGAUUUAUCGCCUUUGGAUGGGCCCGCGUUGGAUUAGCUAGUUGGUAGGGUAAAAGCCUACCAAGGCGACGAUCCAUAGCUGGUCUGAGAGGAUGAUCAGCCACACUGCGACUGAGACACGGCCCAGACUCCUACGGGAGGCAGCAGUGGGGAAUAUUGGACAAUGGGCGAAAGCCUGAUCCAGCAAUGCCGCGUGAGUGAUGAAGGCCGUAGGGUUGUAAAGCUCUUUUACCCGGGAUGAUAAUGACAGUACCGGGAGAAUAAGCUCCGGCUAACUCCGU